rnacentral:lncRNA from 1 species
UCACAACUCAUAUAUUCAUUUCAAAUUAUUAGAUUAAUUGGUCACGAUUAAUUUUUUAGUUACAACUUAAUCAAUUGUAAGUCACAAUAGCAAAUUUUAGGUCGCAUAUAAUAAAUUUAGUCACGGUCACAUAUUCAACUGCAUAUUAUUUACUGAUUACAAAUUAACAAUUUAUUGAUUAUAACAUAAUUGGUCACACGCACUCUUUUCCACCCACUACAACAUCACCAACCACCACCUCGCCAAAUCCAACAUCACCGCCAGUUUCACCAAUGUCAAAACCACUCAAAUCCCCAACAACAAACGACCACCACUACUCCAACAACCAAAAAAAAACCACCACCACCACUAGCCACACUAUCGCAUCACCACCACCACCCCAUAACUCGCAACAGCACCACCGUAACCCAUCUCACCAAAACGACCACCAUAGAUCCGCCAUCAUCACCACAGAUCAACUGAAACCGCAACCCACCACAGAUCCACCAUCAUCACCACAACCCAACACCGUACUGCAACCGCCAUCAACCACAGCACCUUGCCAGAUCCACUACUCUCUACUAGGAACACCAUUACUACACAGAUCACCAUCCAAACCCUACCCAAACCGCCACCACACAAAUACCAUCGCCACCAUCACAUAAAAACACCAUCCAAACCCAAAAAAUUGCCACCAACCCAAACUGCCUCUCAUUCGCACACACCUAUGAAGAGUCGUCGAUCUAUUUUGCGGUGUCAUUUCACCAAUGCUACUCGUAGUGAUUUGCAAACCACAACUCACAGUGGAUUUGCUACAGAAAUAGGAGAGGAGAAGAGAGGAAAAGGAGAGUCACCGACGUCGUCGGAGUAGAGAGUGAUGACAGCAACAUUGCUUCAAUUGGCUUAUCCGGCACCGACGAUCUCACUUUAUUUCCUCACUGUUGAUAGUCGGCUAUCGAGAGGGGAGAAUAGAAAAAAAUAUAGAGAGAGUGAGACGAGAGAGAAAUGUAGAGAUAGAGUUUUGGGAAUUAAUUAGGGUUUGUGUGUAAUGGAU